UAAUAUUUGCAUUAUUGUUAUUAUUAUCACCAUAGUAAUUGUCAAAUCCGAUUUGUAUAUGAUCUGAUAAUUUUUCAGGGUCAUUCUCCAUAACAGGACGUCGGUGGUGGAUAGUGAGUCCGGUUCCGGCCACUCUGGGACUACCGCUGGCAGAAUUGGUGGCGGUGCCACCGGUUGACAUAUUACCCAAUACAGAAUCAAAA
rnacentral:misc_RNA from 1 species